GGCACACAUGAUGAGCAUUGUGGGACUUAAUACUGAAUUACAUGAUGUCUUACUCUUGCUGAUGUGC